GUUAUCUGAGGUGGAAGAAUACGUCCACGUCCACACGCCGAUGGCUUGACAGGGGGGCACCCCGAGAGAUGCAGGAGAAUUGGACGCCUGCCAGAUGAC
rnacentral:ncRNA from 21 species